GCGGGUGUAGCUCAAUGGCAGAGCUCCAGCCUUCCAAGCUGGCUACGUGAGUUCGAUUCUCAUCACCCGCU
rnacentral:tRNA from 1 species